rnacentral:rRNA from 1 species
CGCCAGACUCCUACGGGAGGCAGCAGUGGGGAAUAUUGCACAAUGGGGGAAACCCUGAUGCAGCGACGCCGCGUGAGCGAUGAAGUAUUUCGGUAUGUAAAGCUCUAUCAGCAGGGAAGAAGAUGACGGUACCUGACUAAGAAGCCCCGGCUAACUACGUGCCAGCAGCCGCGGUAAUACGUAGGGGGCAAGCGUUAUCCGGAUUUACUGGGUGUAAAGGGAGCGUAGACGGCGAUGCAAGCCAGAUGUGAAAGCCCGGGGCUCAACCCCGGGACUGCAUUUGGAACUGUGUGGCUGGAGUGUCGGAGAGGCAGGCGGAAUUCCUAGUGUAGCGGUGAAAUGCGUAGAUAUUAGGAGGAACACCAGUGGCGAAGGCGGCCUGCUGGACGAUGACUGACGUUGAGGCCCGAAAGCGUGGGGAGCAAACAGGAUUAGAUACCCUUGUAA